rnacentral:tRNA from 1 species
GGGGUUGUGGCUCAGCGGUUGAGCACGUGCCUCCCAUGUGUGAGGUCCUGGGUUCAAUCCUCAGCACCA